rnacentral:rRNA from 1 species
UACGGGGGGGGGCAAGCGUUGUUCGGAAUUACUGGGCGUAAAGGGCUCGCAGGCGGCCAACUAAGUCAGACGUGAAAUCCCUCGGCUUAACCGGGGAACUGCGUCUGAUACUGGAUGGCUUGAGAUUGGGAGAGGGAUGCGGAAUUCCAGGUGUAGCGGUGAAAUGCGUAGAUAUCUGGAGGAACACCGGUGGCGAAGGCGGCAUCCUGGACCAACACUGACGCUGAGGAGCGAAAGCCAGGGGAGCAAACGGG